CUGUCCACACACGGGAGCGCACGCCGAGUGCGCUGAGAGGACAGCUUGAGCCGAAUUAUCGGCUCAACCUUGGGCCAGUUACUUGGCUCCGCCAAGGGGUGCUGUCGACCGUACGAACCUGACCGGGUAAUGCCGGCGUAGGGAGAUGAAAUGGUAAGCG
rnacentral:ncRNA from 1 species